rnacentral:rRNA from 1 species
CCUACGGGAGGCAGCAGUGGGGAAUCUUGCGCAAUGGGCGAAAGCCUGACGCAGCAACGCCGCGUGCGGGAAGAAGGCUUUCGGGCUGUAAACCGCUUUCAGCAGGAACGAAAAUGACGGUACCUGCAGAAGAAGGAGCGGCCAACUAUGUGCCAGCAGCCGCGGUGAUACAUAGGCUUCAAGCGUUGUCCGGAUUUAUUGGGCGUAAAGAGUUCGUAGGCGGUCGAGUAAGUCGGGUGUGAAAAUUCUGGGCUCAACCCAGAGACGCCACCCGAUACUGCUUGACUUGAGUUCGAUAGGGGAGUGGGGAAUUCCUAGUGUAGCGGUGAAAUGCGCAGAUAUUAGGAGGAACACCGGUGGCGAAGGCGCCACUCUGGAUCGAUACUGACGCUGAGGAACGAAAGCAUGGGUAGCAAACAGGAUUAGAUACCCUGGUAGUCCAUGCCGUAAACGGUGGGCACUAGGUGUGGGUUUCCUAUUAACGAAAUCCGCGCCGUCGCUAACGCAUUAAGUGCCCCGCCUGGGGGUAGGUACGGUCGCGAGACGUAAACUACAAGAAGUAGACGCGNGAGACGUGCCGACGGACGACGACGAGGGAGUAGG